rnacentral:rRNA from 1 species
UACGUAGGCAGCGAGCGUUGUUCGGAGUUACUGGGCGUAAAGGGUGUGUAGGCGGUUGCUUAAGUUUGGUGUGAAAUCUCCCGGCUCAACUGGGAGGGUGCGCCGAAUACUGAGUGACUCGAGUGCGGGAGAGGAGAGUGGAAUUCCUGGUGUAGCGGUGAAAUGCGCAGAUAUCGGGAGGAACACCAAUGGCGAAAGCAGGUAACUGGACUAUUACUGACACUCAACUGCGAAAGCUAGGGGAGCAAACAGG